rnacentral:lncRNA from 1 species
AAUAAAAAUUAUAAAUGAAUUAUUGUAUAAGGAUUGAAUCACUCUUAAAUGAUUAAUAUUUAUUUAUUGUAAAGUACAUGCCAAAAUAAACAUAAGAAGAAGACAUUCCAAAUUGCUAAAAUCACCCGUUAGCUUGCUGAACACAAACAAACGCUCACACUGUGUACUUCAAAUCUAAUUGUUUGUUGGCAAAUUUUCUUUCCACCAUCUCCAUGAAGGCGCCGAUGGGUGCUGGUGGUGGUGACGAUGGUAGCCUCGAUGGGAAAAGACUAUUUGGAUAUAGUUUGAAGCAUUUUUCAACU